rnacentral:misc_RNA from 1 species
GAUGAAGAACGCAGCGAAAUGCGAUAAGUAAUGCGUAUUGCAGAAUUUCCGUGAGUCAUCGAAUCUUUGAACGCACAUUGCGCCCACUGGUAUUCCGGUGGGCAUGCCUGUUCGAGCGUCAUUAUCCUCCCUCAAACCCCGGGUUUGGUGUUGGACCCAAGUUGUGUGAACAACUGGUCUCAAAGACAAUGACGGCGUCCGUGGGACCCUCGGUGCAACGAGCUUUUAGGAGCACGCAUCGAGUUGCAAGGACCUUCCGGGCCGGUCUCCUUUACCAUUUUACAAGGUUGACCUCGGAUCAGGUAGGAAUACCCGCUGAACUUAAGCAUAUCAAUAAGCGGAGGA